GCUGCCUGGGUGCCCCUGUCAAACCUAUUUUCAGGCCAGGCACAAUGGCUCACACCUGUAAUCCCAGCACUUCGGGAAGUCGAGGCGGGCAGAUGGCUUGAGUGCAUUCUUAGGUUCCUUGUAUCAUUUUGGCCUCUGACAAUGUUUGUGACAACAAAGUGCAUCACCAGAAUGUAACUUCUUUGCAAGCACAGCUCACCAACUGAUGGAUCCCAGCCUGCGGUAGUUAAUCCUAUGGAUUUAGGAGAAUUCAGGCCAUCAUUCCAAGACCUGGACUCCUUUGAAUCGUUUCUGCUCUUACUGAGGUCUGAGCCCCUACGGUGCAUGAGCUGAAGGAACAAUUAAAGAUGAAGAGAAAAAGGAAAAAGAAGUUUCUUCAACUGAGUUGCCUAAAUAAAAAAGCUGGUGCAUGCCAAAAAAUUUGCAAAUCAAAUCACUACACACUAAUCUGGAAUGUCAGCAAAAGUGUUGACAUAGGGCUUAAUUGCUGUAAGCUAUACAGAGAAAGUGUCUGUCUAUCUAUUUGU